UGAUUUGUAAUAAUAAGGUGGUGGAGGUGAUGGUGAGGGAGGUGGUGGUGAUUUGUAGUAGUAUGGAGGAGGGGGAGAUGGAGAUGGAGGUGGUGGUGACUUGUAAUAGUAAGGUGGUGGUGGAGAAGGAGAGGGUGGUGGAGGAGACUUGUAUUCAUAGUGAGGCUUAGGAGAUGGUGGUGGUGGAGACUUGUAUUCAUAUGGUGGUGGUGGUGAUGGGGAAGGUGGUGGUGGUGACUUGUACUCAUAAUGAGGCUUAGGAGAUGGUGGUGGUGGUGACUUGUAUUCAUAAUGAGGUUUGGGAGAUGGAGGUGGUGGUGACUUGUCUUCAUAAGGUGGUGGUGGAGACGGAGAUGGUGGUGGGGGAGACUUGUAUUCAUAAGGGGGUGGUGGAGAUGGAGAUGGUGGGGGGGGGGACUUGUAUUCAUAAUGAGGCUUGGGAGAUGGAGGCGGUGGGGACUUGUAUUCAUAAGGCGGUGGUGGAGAUGGAGAUGGUGGGGGGGGGGACUUGUAUUCAUAAUGAGGCUUGGGAGAUGGAGGCG
rnacentral:lncRNA from 1 species